GCCUAUACAUGCAAGUCGAGGGUGAUUAUCGGAUUCGUCUGAUAUGAAACCGGCGCACGGGUGCGUAACACGUAUGCAACCUACCUUUAACUGGGGUAUAGCUCAGAGAAAUCUGAAUUAAUCCCCCAUAACACUACGACAUGGCAUCAUGAUGUAGUUAAAGCUCCGGCGGUUAAGGAUGGGCAUGCGGUACAUUAGCUAGUUGGUGAGGUAAUGGCUCACCAAGGCUACGAUGUAUAGGGGGUCUGAGAGGAUGAUCCCCCACACUGGUACUGAGACACGGACCAGACUCCUACGGGAGGCAGCAGUAGGGAAUAUUGGUCAAUGGACGAAAGUCUGAACCAGCCAUGCCGCGUGAAGGAUGAAGGCCCUCUGGGUCGUAAACUUCUUUUAUUAGGGAAGAAACCUCAGGAUGCGUCCUGAGCUGACGGUACUUAAUGAAUAAGGAUCGGCUAACUUCGUGCCAGCAGCCGCGGUAAGACGAAGGAUCCAAGCGUUGUCCGGAUUUACUGGGUUUAAAGGGUGCGUAGGCGGAAAAUUAAGUCAGUGGUGAAAGCCCGCAGCUCAACUGUGGAACUGCCAUUGAAACUGGUUUUCUUGAAUAUAGCUGAGGCAGAUGGAAUAUAACAUGUAGCGGUGAAAUGCUUAGAUAUGUUAUAGAACACCGAUUGCGAAGGCAGUCUGCUAAACUAUUAUUGACGCUGAGGCACGAAAGCGUGGGGAGCGAACAGGAUUAGAUACCCUGGUAGUCCACGCCCUAAACGUUGAUUACUCGCUGUUGGCGAUAUACUGUCAGUGGCUAAGCGAAAGCAUUAAGUAAUCCACCUGGGAAGUACGACCGCAAGGUUGAAACUCAAAGGAAUUGACGGGGGCCCGCACAAGCGGAGGAGCAUGUGGUUUAAUUCGAUGAUACGCGAGAAACUUACC
rnacentral:rRNA from 1 species